rnacentral:sRNA from 1 species
CUUGUUACCCCGGCACAUGCGCCGUAACAAAAACCGGGUUCAUCGGUAACGGAACCC